UGGAGCAUGUGGUUUAAUUCGAAGCAACGCGAAGAACCUUACCAGGUCUUGACAUCCCCUGACAACCCGAGAGAUCGGGCGUUCCCCUUCGGGGGACAGGGUGACAGGUGGUGCAUGGUUGUCGUCAGCUCGUGUCGUGAGAUGUUGGGUUAAGUCCCGCAACGAGCGCAACCCUCGACCUUAGUUGCCAGCAUUCAGUUGGGCACUCUAAGGUGACUGCCGGCUAAAAGUCGGAGGAAGGUGGGGAUGACGUCAAAUCAUCAUGCCCCUUAUGACCUGGGCUACACACGUGCUACAAUGGGCGGUACAAAGGGUCGCGAACCCGCGAGGGGGAGCCAAUCCCAAAAAGCCGCUCUCAGUUCGGAUUGCAGGCUGCAACUCGCCUGCAUGAAGCCGGAAUCGCUAGUAAUCGCGGAUCAGCAUGCCGCGGUGAAUACGUUCCCGGGCCUU
rnacentral:rRNA from 1 species